rnacentral:rRNA from 1 species
CCGAGUUAUUCAACUCAUCAACCCUGUGAACAUACCUAAACGUUGCUUCGGCGGGAACAGACGGCCCCGUGAAACGGGCCGCCCCCGCCAGAGGACCCCUAACUCUGUUUCUAUAAUGUUUCUUCUGAGUAAAACAAGCAAAUAAAUUAAAACUUUCAACAACGGAUCUCUUGGCUCUGGCAUCGAUGAAGAACGCAGCGAAAUGCGAUAAGUAAUGUGAAUUGCAGAAUUCAGUGAAUCAUCGAAUCUUUGAACGCACAUUGCGCCCGCCAGUAUUCUGGCGGGCAUGCCUGUUCGAGCGUCAUUACAACCCUCAGGCCCCCGGGCCUGGCGUUGGGGAUCGGCGGAGCCCCCCGUGGGCACACGCCGUCCCCCAAAUACAGUGGCGGUCCCGCCGCAGCUUCCAUCGCGUAGUAGCUAACACCUCGCGACUGGAGAGCGGCGCGGCCACGCCGUAAAACACCCAACUCUUCUGAAGUUGACCUCGAAUCAGGUAGGAAUACCCGCUGAACUUAAGCAUAUCAAUAAGCGGAGGAAAAGAAACCAACAGGGAUUGCCCCAGUAACGGCGAGUGAAGCGGCAACAGCUCAAAUUUGAAAUCUGGCUCUCGGGCCCGAGUUGUAAUUUGUAGAGGAUGCUUUUGGUGAGGUGCCUUCCGAGUUCCCUGGAACGGGACGCCAUAGAGGGUGAGAGCCCCGUCUGGUUGGACGCCGAACCUCUGUAAAGCUCCUUCGACGAGUCGAGUAGUUUGGGAAUGCUGCUCUAAAUGGGAGGUAUAUGUCUUCUAAAGCUAAAUACCGGCCAGAGACCGAUAGCGCACAAGUAGAGUGAUCGAAAGAUGAAAAGAACUUUGAAAAGAGAGUUAAACAGUACGUGAAAUUGUUGAAAGGGAAGCGCUUGUGACCAGACUUGGGCUUGGUUGAUCAUCCGGGGUUCUCCCCGGUGCACUCUUCCGGCCCAGGCCAGCAUCAGUUCGCCCUGGGGGACAAAGGCAUCGGGAACGUGGCUCUCUCCGGGGAGUGUUAU